rnacentral:rRNA from 1 species
GACGAACGCUGGCGGCGCGCUUAACACAUGCAAGUCGAGCGAUGAAACUUUAACAGAACCCUUCGGGGCGAAGGUAAAGUGGAUUAGCGGCGGACGGGUGAGUAACACGUGAGUAACCUGGCUUAGACAUUGGGAUAGCCUCGGGAAACCGGGAUUAAUACCAAAUAAAAUCAUAAUGACACAUGUCAUAACGGACAAAACUCCGGUGGGCUAAGAUGGAGGCGCGUCCCAUUAGCUAGUGGGUAGCGUAAAAGCCUACCAAGGCGACGAUGGGUAGCCGGGCUGAGAGGGUGAACGGCGACAUUGGAACUGAGAAGCGGUCCAGACUCCUACGGGAGGCAGCAGUGGGGAAUAUUGCACAAUGGAGUGAACUCAGAUGCAGCGACGACGCGUGAACGAAGAAGGCUUUCGAGUAGUAAAGUUCGUUUAUAUGGGAAGAUAAUGACGGUACCAAAAGAAAAAGCCCCGGCUAACUACGUG